GACAGAGGAUGCAAGCGUUAUCCGGAAUGAUUGGGCGUAAAGCGUCUGUAGGUGGCUUUUCAAGUCCGCCGUCAAAUCCCAGGGCUCAACCCUGGACAGGCGGUGGAAACUACCAAGCUGGAGUACGGUAGGGGCAGAGGGAAUUUCCGGUGGAGCGGUGAAAUGCGCAGAUAUCAGGAGGAACACCGGUGGUGAAGACGGUCUCCUGGGCCGAGAGCCGACGCUGAGGCGCGAGAGCGUGGGGAGCGAACCGG
rnacentral:rRNA from 1 species